UGCCAGACUCCUACGGGAGGCAGCAGUGAGGAAUAUUGGUCAAUGGGCGGGAGCCUGAACCAGCCAAGUCGCGUGAGGGAAGAAGGCCCUGCGGGUCGCAGACCUCUUUGGACGGGGAGCAAGGCCGCCGACGUGUCGGCGGAAGGAGAGUACCCGUAGAACAAGCAUCGGCUAACUCCGUGCCAGCAGCCGCGGUAAUACGGAGGAUGCGAGCGUUAUCCGGAUUUAUUGGGUUUAAAGGGUGCGUAGGCGGAAUAUCAAGUCAGCGGUAAAAAUUCGGGGCUCAACCCCGUCGUGCCGUUGAAACUGAUGUUCUUGAGUGGGCGAGAAGUAUGCGGAAUGCGUGGUGUAGCGGUGAAAUGCAUAGAUAUCACGCAGAACUCCGAUUGCGAAGGCAGCAUACCGGCGCCCAACUGACGCUGAAGCACGAAAGCGUGGGUAUCGAACAGGAUUAGAUACCCGAGUAC
rnacentral:rRNA from 1 species